rnacentral:rRNA from 1 species
AUACGUAGGGGGCGAGCGUUGUCCGGAAUGAUUGGGCGUAAAGGGCGCGUAGGCGGCCCGGUAAGUCUGGAGUGAAAGUCCUGUUUUUAAGAUGGGAAUUGCUUUGGAUACUGUCGGGCUUGAGUGCAGGAGAGGUAAGUGGAAUUCCCAGUGUAGCGGUGAAAUGCGUAGAGAUUGGGAGGAACACCAGUGGCGAAGGCGACAUACUGGACUGUAACUGACGCUGAGGCGCGAAAGUGUGGGGAGCAAACAGGAUUAGAUACCCUGGUAGUCCACACUGUAAACGAUGAAUGCUAGGUGUUGCGGGUAUCGACCCCUGCAGUGCCGGAGUAAACACAAUAAGCAUUCCGCCUGGGGAGUACGGCCGCAAGGUUGAAACUCAAAUGAAUUGACGGGG